UGGCGGGUCCUGAUACUGAUCCCGCCGAUGGAUUCUGGAUUCUGUGCGGAACAAAAACGAGGCCCUGCCCGGUCGCGUCGACGUAAGAGACCAGCUGAAGAAAACAGCAGGUUCAAGAGCCACCACUUCCUAAUCAAAACUCUGCAGCCUGACGGGGCAAAACAAGAGGAAGUGCAGAACCCUCAGCUGCUUCCCCGUGGUUUGGUCGAGUCGGACGUUUGGACCAACGGCUCCUGAAGGACAACUUAUGACCGACUGAGCAAGUGAAAUUUUACCUUUGGCGACUUUUCAUCAUUUGGGAGGAGAUGAGUAAUUGGUGAGUGAGAGGCUUUAUUUUCUAUCUUGUGAAGCACUUUGAGAUCCAUCAUUUGUAUGAAAGUUGCUAUAAAAAUAAAGUUUGACUGAUUAUUUGAUUAGUUUUAGGGGCCUUAAGCAAAUCACGGCUGACGCUGAAUCUGUCAAUCAC